GAUUGUUUACAAAGUGAGUUCGGAGAGGAAGUGACGCCAGAAUGACUGCGCCUCACACAGGAAGUGACGUCAGAAAGAACGCGCCACAGCCAGCUUCAUAAUAAAGCAGUUUCGUAACUCAGAGCCAAUCUUUGGAAAUAUGGAGGCGAGUCAUCCAGGCAUGCCCACGUUUCUUCUUCCGUCUGUACAGACGCUUGUGGGAAUCACACUUACUACCUUAAAAGAAAGCGAUUGCAGCUAUUUUGGAUACAACACGGCAAGAUAACCUUUAAAUGUCCAGCGUGUGCUUUGUCUUACAUGGCCGUCGAGGGAAGACUAGAGAAAACGGCGAAUGCUUUUGGACUGGCAAAGCAGACUGUAUCAAUUAUUGUCCGCCAUGUAUGUCGCAGACUCAACGUCUAGGUUCAGAGUAUAUAACGUCACCAAAAAUGAAUGGACAAUGAAGGUGAAGGGAAAAAAAAGUGAGGAGUAUCCUGACCAGAUAUCUAGAUCCCUAGAUUGAUUGUUGUACAAUGUUCUUUGUCACAUUGUUUAUUUUCACGUAUCCAAUAAAUAUUUGAUUAAUUUA